ensembl:scaRNA
GUGGCUGUCUUUGCUAUUGGCUGCAUUUGCUAGACAUUUAAUGCAACCGUAAGCAGCCACAAAUAGUAAAAUAAAUGGUUCCUGCCGACAGUGUCUGUAGAGUUAUCAGAUUUUUCUGUGCGAUGGUUCCAUACAUU